rnacentral:lncRNA from 1 species
GUUUUUUGGUAGCUUGCUUACAAAAUGGAGGCAAACCUCCUCAUUUGUACGCCUACCUUGUCUGCUGUUUCUGAAGGCAAUACCUCAGAGCAAUCUCUAAGGAACACAGAGAGGAGAUAGCUUGUUCUCUUUACUGCUCUUUCCCUUUUCCUCUGACCAUUAUUUCAAGUUUCUAGAGUUCUUCCACACUGCUCUAUUUCUCACCUUUCCCCAAAUAAACUGGGCUGUAUUUCAUGCUCUUGUUAAGCCACUGGAUAUGUGUAAGCAUAGACAUAGACAGCCACAGACAGAGCUGGAUUUCUUCAAGGCAAGAAAGAUAAAUUCUAACCUCAAAGACUUUGUAUUUACAAGUGUAAAUGUUCAUGAAAACACUAAUUCAAAUAAGGCCUGAUUAUUUUAUUUCCAUGGUUUGGAUAAAUCUGUGAUCUGAUGAAAAGACACAGAGGCUGUAUUCCCUUUUAUCAUCAACUAUCAUUGUGACCUAGCUCUUGUUUUUUGGAGUUUGGUUUUGGGUUUUCUUCUUUGCUUGCUUUUUUACAGUGAGUAUUCAUGCUCAUCAAUUCACUAGUGUACUCAAGACUAAAUGGCACUGGAAAGCAUGAUCACUGGCUUUGUUGAUAGUUUAUUUAAAGAAGACACCUGCUGUCAGAUUAAAAAGGGUGAGAAAAAUCCAGAGCUGUUAUCCCAUUGCAUCACACUGACCCCUGUGUAUCAUCAGCAAGGAGGGACACAUCGGAGCACCUAGCAGAGCACCUUAGGUGAGCACCAAGAUAUCCUUCUCUGCAUGGGCCUGCAUUAGAGGAGGCUGGAAAACUUCAUCAUCAGGGCUUUCCACAUGAAACUCUCUGAAGUGCUUUAUAAAU